rnacentral:siRNA from 1 species
CGCCUCUAGUGGUGAUGUUGUGAG